UGUCUCUGUGGUAGGAUGUGUAGUUCUUUGGCUAGACUGGGAGGAGUGGCACGACGGGGUCAUUUGAUAACUCCAGUUUCAGCUUAUGGAGAACCUUCCACACUGAUCUCCACAGUGGCCGCGGCAGUGUACAUCUCAUUAGUAGUGAGAAACAGCUGUGUGAGACACAUGUGGAGAUGCUGGUCGGAGCCAUUUGAUGGCGUCCAGCUUUGCAUGUCCCCAAGGAGAAGAAAGAAUCCUCCAGCAGGUCCAGGCCGUGCUUCAGGCCAUACAACAUCUGUGGAAAGAAAGGGUGUCAUGUGGAAUUUACAGCAGAUCCUAAUGGGAGAGUCUCCCUAUUGAUGCCCAAGAUUGUGGAGAUAUACAGGAAUGAUGCACCCGCUGAAUGCCAAAUCUUGGCACAGUCUUGGAACCUGAUUUCCACUACCUGGCCCAUGCUAUCAGAUCCUGAUGCAAGGCUGGAGAGAUGGCUCAGCGAUCGGAGUGUCUGCUCUUCCAGAGGACUUGACUUAGUUCCCGGCACCCAUGUCGGGGCUCACAAAUGCCUGUGUCUCCAGCUCCAUGGGUUCCGGUGCUUCCUUUUGGCCCCUACAGGCACCCGCACUCAUGUGCGCUUUGCCACACGAAGACAAAUACCCACACACAUAACUGAAAAUAAAAUAAACCUUA